rnacentral:rRNA from 1 species
UACGUAGGUGGCAAGCGUUGUCCGGAAUUAUUGGGCGUAAAGCGCGCGCAGGCGGUUUCUCAAGUCAGUGGUGAAAGCCCGGAGCUCAACUCCGGAACUGCCAUUGAAACUGUGAGACUUGAGGACGAGAGAGGUGAGUGGAAUUCCCAGUGUAGAGGUGAAAUUCGUAGAUAUUGGGAAGAACACCGGUGGCGAAGGCGGCUCACUGGCUCGUUUCUGACGCUCAGGCGCGACAGCGUGGGGAUCAAACAGG